rnacentral:rRNA from 1 species
AAGGUCCUGCCUGCCCAGUGAAACAUUUUUAAACGGCCGCGGUAUUCUAACCGUGCAAAGGUAGCGUAAUCACUUGUCUUCUAAAUAAAGACCAGUAUGAACGGCUAAAUGAGGACAAAUCUGUCUCCUACAACCAAUCAGUGAAACUGAUCUUCCAGUCCAAAAGCUGGAAUACUAACAUAAGACGAGAAGACCCUGUGGAGCUUAAAAUUAUCUGAUACACACCUAUGCGUAACUAACAGAAUAUUUUGAGUUGGGGCGACUUCGGAAAAAAACAAAACUUCCGAACACAGAACCACCACUUCUAACCAAGGCACACAGGCCAAAACAACAUUGACCCAGUAACACUGAUCAACGAACCAAGUUACCCCAGGGAUAACAGCGCUAUCUUCUUCAAGAGUCCAUAUCGACAAGAAGGUUUACGACCUCGAUGUUGGAUCAGGGCACCCCAAUGGUGCAACCGCUAUUAAAGGUUCGUUUGUUCAACGAUUAACAGCC